rnacentral:misc_RNA from 1 species
UACGUAGGUGGCAAGCGUUAUCCGGAAUUAUUGGGCGUAAAGCGCGCGCAGGCGGUUUCUUAAGUCUGAUGUGAAAGCCCUCGGCUUAACCGUGGAGGGUCGUUGGAAACCGGGAAACUUGAGUGCAGAAGAGGAGAGUGGAAUUCCACGUGUAGCGGUGAAAUGCGUAGAGAUGUGGAGGAACACCAGUGGCGAAGGCGACUCUCUGGUCUGUAACUGACGCUGAGGCGCGAAAGCGUGGGGAGCAAACAGG